rnacentral:rRNA from 1 species
GACGAACGCUGGCGGCGUGCUUAACACAUGCAAGUCGAACGGAAAGGCCCUGCUUUUGUGGGGUGCUCGAGUGGCGAACGGGUGAGUAACACGUGAGUAACCUGCCCUUGACUUUGGGAUAACUUCAGGAAACUGGGGCUAAUACCGGAUAGGAGCUCCUGCUGCAUGGUGGGGGUUGGAAAGUUUCGGCGGUUGGGGAUGGACUCGCGGCUUAUCAGCUUGUUGGUGGGGUAGUGGCUUACCAAGGCUUUGACGGGUAGCCGGCCUGAGAGGGUGACCGGCCACAUUGGGACUGGGAUACGGCCCAGACUCCUACGGGAGGCAGCAGUGGGGAAUAUUGCACAAUGUGCGGAAGCCUGAUGCAGCAACGCCGCGUGCGGGAUGACGGCCUUCGGGUUGUAAACCGCUUUCGCCUGUGACGAAGCGUGAGUGACGGUAAUGGGUAAAGAAGCACCGGCUAACUACGU